rnacentral:tRNA from 1 species
GAGAGAGGUAAUUAUACAAUAAGAACUGCUAAUUCCUAUACCUGAGACUAACCUCUCAGCUCCCUCA